rnacentral:rRNA from 1 species
GACGUAGGGCGCGAGCGUUGUCCGGAUUUAUUGGGCGUAAAGAGCUCGUAGGCGGCUUGUCGCGUCGUCUGUGAAAUCCCACGGCUCAACUGUGGGCUUGCAGUCGAUACGGGCAGGCUGGAGUUCGGUAGGGGAGACUGGAAUUCCUGGUGUAGCGGUGAAAUGCGUAGAUAUUGGGAAGAACACCGGUGGCGAAGGCGGCGACCUGGUCCUUGACUGACGCUGAGGCGCGAAAGCGUGGGGAGCAAACAGG